AGGAAAAGACAUACACACAAGUUUAAUAAGCCACUCUCACACGUGCACACAUUAAUAACAGUACUAGUCCAUAUAUAUACAUAUAUGUGUAUACGAGGGAGAUAACCCUAAAGCUGUAGUUAAUCUGAGCUUUUACUUCAUGCAGCAUUAAUAGCAAUCUUCAUUCCAGACUGACAGUGCCCAGAAACGCUGCAUAUGAAGUAGUUUUGUCCCUUCACCAGUUGAAUUUGAUCUUUCCCUGAUUUGUACACUUUUGCACCUGCUGGAGCACUACAGCUGCUGUAACCUCCUCUGUUCACAGCUACCACGUUGUGGGCUGUUGCAUCAUAAUUGAAUACUAGUGUGUCACCAGCUUUAAAGCGUUUGCCUUUGGGCCAACUAUCGACAUUAAAAGUCCAACCACCACUGCCUCCAACAGUGUAAGUUGCUGCAUGAACAUGGUGGGUGAUAGCCAUUAGGCAAACUAGUGCAGCCACAGUGAGUAUGGCUGGACUUGCA
rnacentral:misc_RNA from 1 species